AUAAUGCCAGUAGGCAUUCCCCGCUGUUCGUCUCCCUCCACGCUAUGGGGGAAGAGUCUCACUUUCUUCUUUGUUUCAUUAGUGACCAAAUUUGGGCAAAAUCCUAUUUUUACUUUUAUUUAUUUAUUUUUAGGUUUGGUGGUCCUAUCCUUUUUGAAGUUUGCCCCUGUCCCCUCGGAAAAAUGAAAAAUCAACAUCCCUGCAAUGGUGACACUGUCCCAACAUAAGGAAUCGAACAAAAGGGACAACAUGGAGAUUACAUUAUAUUUGAUGAUAUGCAAUGACGGCAAUGAUGAUGAUGGCAACAAUAACAUUGACGAUAGAAGUGGCAGCAUCCACAUGUUUCUGGGGGGAAAGAUUGUUGCCUUUGUUUGAAACGCAAACAAACACUUUGAAAGCCAGGAAACUUGGAUGCGCUGGAGAUAACCAGCUCUGGAUUAGCAUGGAUGUCAUUGACCUGGUCAUGGAAGAUUGGCAUCCACUACAAGGCAGUUUGGCAUCAAUCACAAAAAAGAAGAUUGGAUGCUCCAGCAAAAUGGGGCGAGGGAGAGAAGGAGCAUGCUCAUGUAUAUGUGAGAGUAAAUAUCAUAAUAACUGCACAGGCUGGAUUCAGUAUGCUGGUUUCCAAAGAAGCUGUAAUUUUCUAUUAC
rnacentral:lncRNA from 1 species